rnacentral:rRNA from 1 species
AUGGACAAUGAGUCAGCUGGAUGCUUAAAGGUUAGACCUUCCAUUAGUGCCUUAUUACGAGUAUUAGGAAGGGACCAAGCAAUUGCUGCAGAGCCCGCUGGGCUCCUAGAACACCCCGUGGCAUCCCGCAUAACACUCCAAAUGAAUUUGGCCACAAUACACCGAAAGAGAUUGUGGUCACAAUUCUCGUCUUAUCUGCACGACACGCACGUCCCAUCCCCUGGCCUGUGUCUUUUGAGAACCUGGUUGCUGCUCGGAAUUCUGUUCCUAGCCACUUGUUGUCAAAACAUGCUUCAUUUCGUAUUUCCGAAUGGUCCAGAAUACUGCAGCAAUACCGACAAUAAUCAGCAUUUUUUUCCUGCUUACUGGCUAGUUGGUGUCUUAAAAAAGCAAUUACAAUGGGAAGACCAUGGCCCAACUUGGUCCUCAUGA